rnacentral:lncRNA from 1 species
UUCGUUUGUUGGAGUAACCAAAAUAUUGGAUAAAAGAGAUAGGAGGAACAUUCAAUGUACAAAGUAUCACCGGUGAUUUGAUGACAUAAUUCAACAACAGUUGCAGCGGUAAUACUUUGUAGCUCAAAGAUUAGUUCAGACGCCCUAUAAUACCGCGAGUAAAUGUACGAUAUGUUAAGCUUUACUAAAUCUAUGAAUACAUGAUACAGGAAUAAACCAAAAGAGAGAAUAGUACCAGUCUGCAAGCGCUCCAAAAAUUACAAAUCUUAUCCUCAUGUGUAUGAUUAACUGUAAAACAAACAAAAAAAAAUACCUAAUAGGUUUAAGUAGACACAUUUUGCAUGAAAAAACCUGCAGAUGUACACUUCCACAAUGCUUAUUAUAUUCACCGGUGUUACAAGCAAGAUGAUAUAAAAAUGCUACAUCCCUUUUUUUACAUUAGAAGCAACUAUAAUCAUAUAUAAAAUUUACAAAAAAAAACAUGAGCCAUAUAUAGGAGUUGUGUUCUGAAUCCAAAGAAAAGAGAUUUAGCAUACCAUAUCCUCACAUUUAAACAGCUACAUACAUGAAGCACUAAAAACAGUCGCAUAGAUGAGGAAGAAUAAAUGAAAUCAUGUAUUAACUCGUGCUAAAACAAAUGAAGGCAUAUUUGGCAGAGCCAAAGACGCAGAAACUUUUUCCCUGCAUAUUUUUGCACAAACAAGGUCUAUGCUGCAAGAUAUGAUGUGCA